GCACAAGCGGUGGAGCAUGUGGAUUAAUUCGAUGCAACGCGAAGAACCUUACCUGGGUUUGACAUGCACAGGACGACUGCAGAGAUGUGGUUUCCCUUGUGGCCUGUGUGCAGGUGGUGCAUGGCUGUCGUCAGCUCGUGUCGUGAGAUGUUGGGUUAAGUCCCGCAACGAGCGCAACCCUUGUCUCAUGUUGCCAGCGCGUUAUGGCGGGGACUCGUGAGAGACUGCCGGGGUCAACUCGGAGGAAGGUGGGGAUGACGUCAAGUCAUCAUGCCCCUUAUGUCCAGGGCUUCACACAUGCUACAAUGGCCGGUACAAAGGGCUGCGAUGCCGUGAGGUGGAGCGAAUCCUUUCAAAGCCGGUCUCAGUUCGGAUCGGGGUCUGCAACUCGACCCCGUGAAGUCGGAGUCGCUAGUAAUCGCAGAUCAGCAACGCUGCGGUGAAUACGUUCCCGGGC
rnacentral:rRNA from 1 species